GGCAAGAUGGUCACAGAGAACCCAGACAAUCUGGAUCAAUGCAUGGACAGAGCUGUGUGCUGGAUGAACAGGAGAUUAACCUGCUGCCUGUGUCUAUCCAAAAAGGUAUUUCAGUGUCCCAGAGCUGUUUACUGAUAAGAAUGAGAAAUCAUCUAUAUAGACUGUUAGCAAAAAUAUGGCUUGUGUCUGUCCCUCAGUCUUAUGUGAAGCUAGUAUGAAGAAACAUAGAUGGAUGAGUGAACUGUUUGCAGUGAAGUUGGUCACAUCCAUACUGAUGGUGUGUAUUUUGCCUGUAGAGGUCGUCUACUCCAUGCUGCUAAGAUCUGCUGACUGUGUGUUGGAGAUGGUGUCUGAUCUUUUGUGGCUGUGGGAAGUCACCUCGCAGAUGAAAGCAUUAGUGUGGAUGAAACUGUCCUGUAAAAGCAUACCACCACCGAAGGUUUCAACUCUACAUCCUUAGUCUAUCUAACCAGGUCAUGGGCAUUCCAGUCUCAUCAAUGUCCACACCUGUUCCUGCUCAGGCUCAUUUUGUAACUUUUCUUUCACAUUUUUUGGAUCAUGUGUGACAAUGCAAAUGUUCUAGAAAAGGAACAACAAAAAAAGAAACAUUUACAAAUGUACACACGGAUUCUUGUUAAUAGAGAGUUUUUUUUUUCAUAGUAAGGUAAUUGUAAUGACAAAUAAAGGAAUAAUUGUUCUACAGAAUAUUACACUUGAAUAAGUUACACAUGCUACUCCUGAGAUACUAGUGAUCCUGACCCGUUCUGCUCUCCGGAACUACCUGAUCCAUUCUGAUGCCCUACUUCUGGUUGGGGUUCUCAUCACUUGGAAAUCACUCACUGUUCCUGAGGAUGGCCCCACAUGGACAUCCUGAAGAUACGGGUGCAUCUCAAAAAAUGUUAAUAUUGUGGAAAAGUAAAUUUUUUCCAUAAUUUAAUUCAAAAAGGGGAACUUUCAUAUAUUCUGCAUUCAUUACACAUAAAAGGAAAUAUUUCAAGCCUUUUUUGUUUGUUUGUUUUAAUCUUGAUGAUUACAGCUUACAGCUCAUGGAAAUCAAAAAUCCAGUAUCUCAAAAUGUUAGAAUAAUAUUGAAUUGAAUUUAAUUGAAUAAAAUUUUAAUAGAGAAAAUGUAAUGUUUACAAUAAGAGUAACAAAAUAGCACCAAGAGUGUUUUAUAUAAACAGUAAAACCACAGUAAAUCAAAGCUUUAAUAUUCACACAGUACCAUGCGUCAUUAAAACUGUGUUUUACAGUACUUGAAUUUGUAAUUUCAUGUCAGAGGAAACAACUACUCCACAAAUACCAAUAAAUACCACCAGUAGUCACGUGAUUGUAUCAGUAUAAUCUUUUAGAACUACACGUUGAAGGAUUAUGGUGAUGUCUUUGCUUUGAUUAAAAAUAUUUUAAUGAUUUCACCUAUGCUCAUCAAUAUGUGUAACUAAUAUUU
ensembl:lncRNA